GUGGCGUAGCAAACGUUAAGCACACCGCGUGUGAAGUGUGGCCCCGCAAGGGAAAAACUUAAAAGUAGUCGGGGGGCCCCGCACGAGGGGGAGAAUAUGUUGUAUUUUUAGACAAUGCGCGAAACCUUAUCACAGGUCGAGUCAAGCCAAUGAUAGCAUUUGUAAUGAAAUCUUUUCUUCGGAACAUUGGACCAGGUGGUGCAUGGUCGUUGUCAGCUCGUGUCGUGAGAUGUUGGGUUAAGUCCCGCAACGAGCGCAACCCUUGUUAUUAGUUGCCAGCAUUUAGUUGGGCACUCUAAUGAGACUGCCGGUGACAAACCGGAGGAAGGUGGGGAUGACGUCAAAUCAUCAUGCCCCUUAUGUCCUGGGCAACACACGUGCUACAAUGGGAAGGACAACGAGUAGCAAACCGGCGACGGCAAGCUAAUCUCUUAAAACUUUUUUCAGUUGGGAUUCGAUUUUGCAAUUGGACUCCAGGAAGGGGGAAUCGUUAGUAAUCGGGAAUCACCAUGUCGCGGUGAAUACGUUCCGGGCUUUUACCACACCGCCCGUCAAACCAUGGGAGUCGGAAGCCCCAACGUCGGUUGGAUAAGCAAGGAGGCACGGUGCCUACGGGAAAUUGGAUAAUGUGU
rnacentral:rRNA from 1 species